GAUCCUGGCUCAGGAUGAACGCUAGCGGCAGGCCUAACACAUGCAAGUCGAGGGGCAGCACGGUGUAGCAAUACACUGGUGGCGACCGGCGCACGGGUGCGUAACGCGUAUGCAACCUACCCAUAACAGGGGGAUAACACUGAGAAAUUGGUACUAAUACCCCAUAACAUCAGGACCGGCAUCGGUUUUGGUUGGUAAACGUAACCGGUCGGGUUAGUUGGAGUGGGCGAUGCGUUGGUUAUUUAGUCUGGUUGGGUUGGUAGGG
rnacentral:rRNA from 1 species